AAUUAUAUAGUUUAAAUUAAAAACCUUAUAAUUUCAUUAUAAAAAUAAUCUACAUAAAUUUAUAAUUU
rnacentral:tRNA from 1 species